rnacentral:rRNA from 1 species
UACGUAGGGGGCGAGAGUUGUCCGGAUUUACUGGGUGUAAAGGGUGCUCAGGUGGAUUUGUAAGUCAGAGGUGAAAUCCCAAAGCUCAACUUUGGAGCUGCCUUUGAUACUGCAAGUCUUGAGUUUGGAAGAGGGUAAUGGAAUAUCUGGUGUAGCAGUGAAAUGCGUAGAUAUCAGAUAGAACACCAAUGGCGAAGGCAGUUACCUGGUCCAAAACUGACACUAAAGCACGAAAGUGUGGGGAGCAAACAGG